GACGAACGCUGGCGGCGUGCUUAACACAUGCAAGUCGAACGGAAAGGCCCUGCUUUUGUGGGGUGCUCGAGUGGCGAACGGGUGAGUAACACGUGAGUAACCUGCCCUUGACUUUGGGAUAACUUCAGGAAACUGGGGCUAAUACCGGAUAGGAGCUCCUGCUGCAUGGUGGGGGUUGGAAAGUUUCGGCGGUUGGGGAUGGACUCGCGGCUUAUCAGCUUGUUGGUGGGGUAGUGGCUUACCAAGGCUUUGACGGGUAGCCGGCCUGCGAGGGUGGCCGGCGACCGUGGGACGGAGAGAGGGCCCGGCCGCGUGCGGGAGGCGGCAGGGGCGAAUGGGGCGCACGGGGCGGAAGGGUGAUGCAGCACUGCCGCGGGCGGGAGGACGGCCGUCGGGUGGGAAAAAGCUUGCGCCGGUGACGAAGCGGGAGUGACGGGACUGUGUAAAGGAGCGCCGGCUAACUACGGG
rnacentral:rRNA from 1 species